rnacentral:misc_RNA from 1 species
CGCCUUACGGCGAAGAUGAGAGCACGAUGCCCGUGGGCUCUUACAGAGUAUACCAUAUGAGAAGCGAAUCGGAUGUCGGCAGAGUUUCGCGCAGGAAGCCAAAGUCUCGAAGUACCGAUUGAUAUCUGGGACCCGUGCCAAGAGGGCGAACCACACUGUCUAAUUAACUCCGUGACUGGAUGACCUCACAAAGAACCCUCUUCGCCCUUCGUUCUCUCCGUACGGCAUCACCCCGGCGCUGCCGUUGCCGCAACGUUCUUCGUUCGUCUCAUGUCCUCUUCUCGCGUUCCUAUACACCCUGUGCAGAGAUUUCGCAGCGACCCACGUCGUUCCGCGGCGUGGCCACGUUCGGCUUGUAUCGAAUAUGAGCGGGUACGUCGUAGAGAUAAAUGUGAACGUAGGUCGUACGUACGUACGUACGUGCAGUGUACGGUAGAGCGGUGCGAUACUCGGACAAAUGGACAAGCAGACGUUUCCGCAUCGUCGCAUUAAUCAG